rnacentral:rRNA from 1 species
UACGGGGGGGGCAAGCGUUGUUCGGAAUUACUGGGCGUAAAGGGCUUGUAGGCGGCCAACUAAGUCAGACGUGAAAUCCCUCGGCUUAACCGGGGAACUGCGUCUGAUACUGGAUGGCUUGAAUCCGGGAGAGGGAUGCGGAAUUCCAGGUGUAGCGGUGAAAUGCGUAGAUAUCUGGAGGAACACCGGUGGCGAAGGCGGCAUCCUGGACCGGCAUUGACGCUGAGGAGCGAAAGCCAGGGGAGCAAACGGG